rnacentral:lncRNA from 1 species
CCGUAUAUACUCUAGACUUCUCUAUUUAGUUAUACAUAAAUUACCUAUAAAAUCAUAACUACAGCUAAUCUGUCUAUCAAAAAAUAGCUGCAAUUGUUAGGAUAUUUUGAAGGUUGUACUCUAAAAUGUUGUAUAAAGGUUUCACAGACAUUACAACAACCGCAGGCAUACUAUGAUAAGUCCUAAGAAACACAAAAUACUUUGUAGAGUAAUAUGUAAAUGAUAUCUAUUCAUAAUAGAUAACUUCUUUAAAAACACGCAAUAGAAAGAAAGAAAAUAACUCGAACGUCUAAUAUUUAGAAAAUACAUUACAAUUUGCAUGGUGAAAAUAGUAUCACUAAAUUAUUUUAACAUGUAGCCAUAACAUAAUUUUUGGUAAUUUUCUACUGACAUAUACAUACAAAACCUAAUGAUCGGAGAUGCAUAUUAGAGAUCAUAUUAAUGUUUAAAACACCAUCUAUUUACGAGUGGGAAAGAAACGUUGAGAUUUAUACUAAAUAUCAACGGAAAUCAUAUUAGUUACAUGCAAAAAAGUUUAAUAUAAAUAAAUAAGCAUUGUUUAUUCUAAAUAACCACAAACGCAUCUCGAAAAUAUGUCCCUUAGAAUGAAUAAUUCGUAACUCUCAUUGGUUCAAGAAUCCAUUAUUCAAAGUUAAAGAUGUGGUCUCGAUUUUAGGAUGAAGUCGUAUGAGGCGAGAGACUCAAAUACAGUUGCUUCGAUAAGGGGGUGAUAGAGGUGAGAGUCUCAAGUGUGGUUGCUUCGAGAAGGGGGGUAAUACGCAGACUCAGCACACAUACUGGUGUGCAGUUUUUUUUUCAUUUUUAAGAAUGUCAUGGUCAAUGAUUUAAAAUAAAUGGUGAAUCAAACACCCUGUUGUACAUGCUCUUAUAAUCAAAUCAUCAUAUGUAUGAUACAUAUAUAUAAAUGUGCAAUAUUUAUAGAAGAUGACAAUAAAUUAGCUAUAAACCAAACCAAGGUUGUAAAGUCCAUAAAAAUCUUUCAGUCUACAUAAGUGAUUUUUUGGUUGUAAUUAUUACGUUC